CUAGGUCUCAACUCCCUCUGAACCACAUGAGAGCAGUGUCAGGGCAUGGACCAUGUGUGGCUAGGCUGUAACACCCAACAGUAAGAACUGGUCAGGCAUUGGAAG